AAAUGAAUUGACGGGGGCCCGCACAAGCAGCGGAGCAUGUGGUUUAAUUCGAAGCAACGCGAAGAACCUUACCAGGGCUUGACAUCCCGGUGACCGGUAUAGAGAUAUACCUUCCCUUCGGGGCACCGGAGACAGGUGGUGCAUGGUUGUCGUCAGCUCGUGUCGUGAGAUGUUGGGUUAAGUCCCGCAACGAGCGCAACCCCUAUCUUUAGUUGCCAUCACGUAAUGGUGGGCACUCUAGAGAGACUGCCGGGGACAACUCGGAGGAAGGUGGGGAUGACGUCAAAUCAUCAUGCCCCUUAUGUCCUGGGCUACACACGUGCUACAAUGGUCUGAAACAGAGGGAAGCGAGGGUGUAAGCCGGAGCGAAUCCCGGAAACCAGAUCCCAGUUCGGAUUGUGGGCUGCAACCCGCCCACAUGAAGUCGGAGUUGCUAGUAAUCGCGAAUCAGCAUGUCGCGGUGAAUACGUUCCCGGGCCUUGCACACACCGCCCGU
rnacentral:rRNA from 1 species